AUGGCCAUACUCGGUCCGCAGCACAGGGAGCUCGAACUGCUCAUCGGAAUACUUCCUGACAACAAUGGCUCACUCUAUGGUGACCUGAAGCGUGCCUUCGAGAUCGACCUCGGGCUGAUCUCCCAGUGCUGUCUGACGAAGCAAGUGUUCAAGAUGAACAAGCAGAUCCUCGCAAACCUUUCUCUGAAGAUAAAUGUCAAGUGUCAAGGUGCAUGCCUCUGGUCACCGACAGACCGAGACGAUCAUAUUCGGCGCCGAUGUCACCCACCCCCAUCAUAUCCUGGUGAAGACAGCAGCCCUUCCAUUGCUGCAGUUGUGGCCUCCCAAGAUUGGCCUGAGGUGACCAAGUAUGCUGGCCUAGUGUCUGCUCAGGCUCACAGGCAGGAACUGAUAGAGGAUCUGUACAAUGUCUACCAUUCCUUGCCUGCGAAGCAGAAGCUACGAGUCAGAAGACUGAAAUGCCCAAAUUCAAACUUGAUAGCAACCAAGACAGCGUAUCCACAAUUUACACCUUUGAUGCAGCUUACGAGGGACACACAUAUAGCAUGCUAA
rnacentral:rRNA from 1 species